GAUGAACGCUGGCGGCGUGCUUAACACAUGCAAGUCGAACGAAGCAUUUAGGACAGAUUACUUCGGUUUGAAGUUCUUUAUGACUGAGUGGCGGACGGGUGAGUAACGCGUGGGUAACCUGCCUUGUACUGGGGGAUAGCAGCUGGAAACGGCUGGUAAUACCGCAUAAGCGCACAAUGUUGCAUGACAUGGUGUGAAAAACUCCGGUGGUAUAAGAUGGACCCGCGUCUGAUUAGCUAGUUGGUGAGAUAACAGCCCACCAAGGCGACGAUCAGUAGCCGACCUGAGAGGGUGACCGGCCACAUUGGGACUGAGACACGGCCCAGACUCCUACGGGAAGCAGCAGUGGGGAAUAUUGCACAAUGGAGGAAACUCUGAUGCAGCGACGCCGCGUGAGUGAAGAAGUAAUUCGUUACGUAAAGCUCUAUCAGCAGGGAAGAUAGUGACGGUACCUGACUAAGAAGCUCCGGCUAAAUACGUG
rnacentral:rRNA from 1 species